UAUUGUUCUCAGCGAUAUGUUUGUUUUAUUUCAAAACAUUUCACAUUAUCACACACAUUCCUCCCAGCUAAUCAUUUCCUAGCUUGCCUUCUCCGUGGUCCCUGCGGCUGGCCGGUCCGGAUGGUUCGGGCUGACGUCCCCUGGGAAGACGCUGGGUCAUUGACUGUCACACCGGGAAGAACCGCAGAGAGGUGGAGGAGGGUGGCGGAGCGGAGCUGGUGGAGACAGGCGCCCUCAGCUUCGCGGGUUCAGCCGCUGUCUCAGUUAUGUAAGCCAUUACGGCCGAAAACCGAGGUCAGAGGGGGUCCGGACGGCGACUCAGGGCGGAGCUAAACCGUCCUGCCAAGUCAUUCGACCGUGGCGGAGGAGGUUGGAGGACGGGAAGCCCCGUAGCGCUAGCCGGCUCCUCGAUCAAGCUAGGUAGCUCGAGGAGGAGUGAGUCUACAGCUAGGAGCGGGGUUGAGUCGGACAUACGGACCCCGGGGUUGACUGAGUAUCCGCUCAGCCGCCUCUCUUCCACCGCGGUGCUUCCCAGCUGGGAAGCAUCAUCCGAACCGCAACUGCUCCUGCUGUCGUCCUCGUCGUUGUCGACCUCUCUGCCGGUGGGAUUAUCUGAUAAACGCUCAGCAUAGCUAGCAUCCCGCUCAGCGUAGCUAGCAUCUCCCACGAGCAGCGACCGGACUCGGUGGGCCCGGCGCCCCACCUCGUGCCAGCCUAGAAAAGGCUAGCUCCGGCUCCUCGAUUCCAGCGGGAGGGGA